UAAUAAUAAAUGAUAUAAUAAUAAUAAUAAUAGUGAUAAAUAAAAUAAUAAUGAUUAUUAUUAUUAUUAUUAUUAUUAUUAUUAUUAUCGGUAGGUUUACAAAAUUCGUGACGAAAAAAAUAUUAUUUAUAAAUAAUCUUUAUGAACAUGUGAAAUAAUGUGAGUGAAAGAUUUUAGUAUAUCAUUUUAUAGUGUUUGAAGUGUAAAAGUUUAUAGAAGUUUAAGUGAGUUUAAAUAAAACUUCAUCAAUUAGAUUUUUCAAGCUCCAUUCUUAUUUGAAAGCUAAAAUGUGAGGGUAUUAUUUAAAUAAUUUUAUGUUUUUUAAACAUUUUAACGUUGUUUUCACGAUAAACAAUUUUUUUUAUUUUAUUUGUUAGUAAUUAAAAAAAAAUAAUUAACAUUCUUAAGAAAUAAUACUCCAAAAGCAACGAAAUACCUUCUACACGUGUUUUCCAUUAAGAUAAAAUGGAGUUGGAUUAGUAUUUUUCAUUAAAGAAGAGGAUGUUGAUAACUUCGACGGACAACGUCGACACGAAUGGCACGGAAUUUCAUAUAAAAAAUUAAAUUUAAUUGAUAGAAUGUCGAAAAAAUGUUAUGAGUAGAGGCGUGUGAAUGAUAUUCCACUAAUUCAUGAGCGCAAAAGGCCCAGAGUAACCCAAUAAUAAUUUAAUGUAACAACUACCCAGUCGGGUGCUCUAUAAAAUUACAAGUCCAAGAGUCUCUUGGCACGGAUGGCACGGAAUUUGUAUAAAAAAUUAAAUUUAAUCGAUGAAAUGUCGAGAAAUUGUUUUGGAUAAAGGCGUGUGAAUAAUAUUUAACCAAUUUAUUAGCACAAAUAGCCCAGAGUAACUCGAAAAAAAUUAAAUCUUGCUGGUGUCCAGCCGAGUACUCAAUUUAAAUACAAGUCCAACUAUCUCUUGGCACGGAUGGCACGGAAUAAAAUAUUAAAAAUUAAGUUUAAUUGAUGAAAUGUCCAGAAAUUGUUAUGAAUAAAGGCGUGUGAAUUAUAUUCCACCAAUUUACUGGUAUAAAUAGUCCAGAGUAACUCAAAGAAAUUUGAAUUUUGCUGGUAUUCAGCCGAGUACUCAAUAAAAAGACAAGUCUAGCAAUUUCUUGGCACGGAAUUUCAUGCAAUUCAUUUAAUUUAAUAAAUAAAAUGCCGUGUAUUCAUAACAAAUAAAAGCGUGUAAAUUAUAUUUCACUGAUUAAUGAGCACAAAUGGCCCAGAGUACCCAAAAAUAAUUUAAUUAAACGAGUACCCAGUCGGGUGCUCAAUAAAAUUACAAGUCCGGGAGUCUCUUGGCACGGAUGGCACGGAAUUUGUAUAAAAAAUUAAAUUUAAUUGAUGAAAUGUCGAGAAAUUUUUAUGAAUAAAGGCGUGUGAAUUAUUUCCCACUAAUUAAUUAGGGAGAAUUGCCCAGAGCAACUUAUUAUAAAUUGAAACUGGCUGGUAUUCAGCCGAGUACUCAAUAAAAAUACAAGACUCGCAAUUUCUUGGCACGGAAUUUCAUGCAAUUAAUUUAAUUUAAUAAAUUAAAUUCCGUGUAUUCGUUAUAAAUAAUAGCGUGUGAAUUAUAUUCCACAAAUUUAUUGCCAUAAAUAGCCCAGAGUGACUAAAAUGAAAAAUUAAAUCUUGCUGUUGUCCGGCCGAGUACUCUAUAUAAAUACAAGUCCAACUAUCUCUUGGCACGGAUGGCAUGGAAUAAAAUAUUAAAAAUUAAGUUUAAUUGAUGAAAUGUCCAGAAAUUGUUAUGAAUAAA